GCCGGGUGUGGUGUUGGGCGCCUGUAAUCCCAGCUAGUGGGAGGCUGAGGCAGGAGAAUUGCUUGAAUCCAGGAGGCAGAGGUUGCAGUGAACCGAGACCGGUCCACUACACUCCAGCCUGGGUGACAGAGCAAGACUCUGUCUUGU
rnacentral:SRP_RNA from 1 species